GAGGAUUUUAGGAACGAUUUAUUCUGGCCUGGUAAGAACCUUGCCCCAGACGAGAUGAACAAGAAUAUUCAGCUCAACAAUAAUAUCAGAUUAUCAUCCUCUUAUCUCGUCUACUACUAACAGUUUGCACCGCAAUUAAUGAAAACAUUUAUUACGUGUAUACAUCGUGUACGUGUCCCAUUGGAUAUACAAAGCUGGAUAAUCAACAAAUUAGUCGUAACUGUUACCUCUUUGGUGGGGUAGAUAACUAUCUAUCAUGGCAGUUGGCAGAGGCAGAAUGUAUGGGCACUCCAGGUGCUCACUUAUGGGUCCCAGACAUCGAAGAUGAAGCUGAGGCACUUCGGGAAAAAUUUGGAAUAGGUGAUGACGAUGCAGAUGUGUGGACAGGGGCCAUUGAUCUGAACACCAACGGUACAUACCUGUUUACAAUGACCAAUACACAGCUUGAUCUGGAUAAUCUACCGUUUGGAAACGAAGAAGGAUCGAACCGUGGCAGAUGUGUAGAAAUGGAGUUUAAUGAUGAAUGGGUUUAUGAAGAUGGAGUUUGGUAUGAUAUAUAUGGUUGGUUCUGGGAUGCUGAUGAUUGUGACGAAGAUGAGCUGUAUGUGU